UUAUUUACCAACUUUGCUAAU
rnacentral:piRNA from 1 species